GAGUGUUCAUUAUUUAUACCCGGGGUUGGUACCGAAGAGAAAUGGGUUGGGUAAGCCAUUUUUCUGGGGUAUGAAGGGUUGGGUAAAUAUUUUUUGAACAAAGCCUAUGGUUGGGUAAAUUAUUUUCAAUACAAACCUUGAAUUGAACAAAAUAUGAAAAUCCUUUAUUUAACAAAAUGGGUCAUUCCAGGAAAUAUCCAUUCAUUCUCCACAAAGAAAACUAAACUCCGACUCCCCAUCCCCUCUGAUUACAACAACGAGAUAUGGUAGGACUGCAGGAACUUGGAGGCUUGGGAACAUAAUAUGAACUUGUGAAGGUACAAAUGAUUAUAUUUGACAUUCAGUUAGUGCACC
rnacentral:lncRNA from 1 species